rnacentral:rRNA from 1 species
CGUGAGCUGGAUGUGCGGGCUCGCAUGCGCAGGAUAGGUGGGAGGCUUUGAUCAUCGGCUUGCGGGUCGAUGUGAGCCAACGGUGAGAUACCACUCUUUGCGAGCUAGGGUUCUAACGGCCACCCGUCAUCCGGGGGCCGGACAGUACCUGGUGGGCAGUUUGACUGGGGCGGUCGCCUCCUAAAAGGUAACGGAGGCGCGCAAAGGUUUGCUCAGGCUGGUUGGAAAUCAGCCGACGAGUGUAAAAGCAGAAGCAAGCUUGACUGUGAGACCAACAAGUCGAACAGGGAGGAAACUCGGCUUUAGUGAUCCGACGGUUCUGAGUGGAAGGGCCGUCGCUCAACGGAUAAAAGUUACUCUAGGGAAACAGGCUGAA